AAUUAAAACAACCACUGAUAGGGACCGCAAAAUGUGAUGUAGAUUUACAAAGGCUUUUUUUCCGCAAUAAAUCGAUUUUGUCUGAGCACGUAUUAUAUGGGAAAUUUCAGAAGAUCGGCGAAAAAUUGUUGGAAGUCUUGCGUAGCCUGGAUUAUAAAAACAUAAUUGUCGAUAUCAUUCUACAAGAGAUUCGCAUUGAAAUAUGGUAUGGAAUCGAAGAAGUAGAUAUUGUAUCUAAUGUUCGAUUUCGAGCUGUGUUAAACGACAAAGGAAACUUUGACAUCGGAACAAUUUUACCGAAAACCUGGAAAGAAGAAGUUUCCAGACUUUUACGUGAAGUUGUUCCGUAUGCUGUGGUGGGUGUUUUUGUCAGCGUUGUUAUAUAUUUCUUAAGAAAAAAUCCAGAAAUGAUUCUUAACA